UCCGUAGGUGAACCUGCGGAAGGAUCAUUACCGAGGGCCCCUCCCCGACGCAGCAAUGCGUCGCCGAAGGGGCUAUUCUCACCACCCUUUUUUAUACGUACCUCUUAUUCUUCCUCGGCGGGGCAACCUGCCGAUGGAACACACAUCAUAACCUCUUUGCAUCCAGCAUUACUUGUUCUGAUACCCUAAAUUUUACAACUUUCAACAAUGGAUCUCUUGGCUCUGGCAUCGAUGAAGAACGCAGCGAAAUGCGAUAAGUAGUGUGAAUUGCAGAAUUCAGUGAAUCAUCGAAUCUUUGAACGCACAUUGCGCCCCUUGGUAUUCCAUGGGGCAUGCCUGUUCGAGCGUCAUCUACACCCUCAAGCACUGCUUGGUGAUGGGCGUCUGUCCCGCCUCCGCGCGCGGACUCGCCCCAAAGGCAUUGGCAGCGGUCCUGACCGCCUCUCGCGCAGCACAUUUGCGCUUCUCGAGGCAUCGGAGGCCUGCGUCCACGAAGCCCAUCUUUAUUUUUUUGACCUCGGAUCAGGUAGGGAUACCCGCUGAACUUAAGCAUAUCAAUAAGGCGGGAGGGGAAGGUCGGACUGGCCAAGGGCACACAGGGGGGGAUA
rnacentral:rRNA from 1 species